rnacentral:rRNA from 1 species
AACGAACGCUGGCGGCAGGCCUAACACAUGCAAGUCGAGCGCCCCGCAAGGGGAGCGGCGGACGGGUGAGUAACGCGUGGGAACGUACCCUUUGCUACGGAAUAGCCUCGGGAAACUGGGAGUAAUACCGUAUGUGUCCUUCGGGAGAAAGAUUUAUCGGCAAGGGAUCGGCCCGCGUUGGAUUAGGUAGUUGGUGGGGUAAUGGCCUACCAAGCCGACGAUCCAUAGCUGGUUUGAGAGGAUGAUCAGCCACACUGGGACUGAGACACGGCCCAGACUCCUACGGGAGGCAGCAGUGGGGAAUCUUAGACAAUGGGCGCAAGACUGAUCUAGCCAUGCCGCGUGAGCGAUGAAGGCCUUAGGGUUGUAAAGCUCUUUCAGGGGGGAAGAUAAUGACUGUACCCCCAGAAGAAGCCCCGGCUAACUCCGUG